rnacentral:lncRNA from 1 species
CACAAUUAUCUAAUGCUACAUUACCCUCUGCAGCAGUCUGUCUCCAAUCUCCGUUCCUGUUUCUUUUGGCUAAUGUUACUUUACAGGGGAUGCUUAAUUGUUCUAAUGUUACUUGCUACUUGUCUGAGUGUUGGAAUGGCUCCUGGACUACGGCAGUGGUUAUGAAAAUUCCAACCUUUGUCCCGAUCCCAGUUAUUGCAGAUCCAGAA